GGUUCGGUAGUUCAGUUGGUGGAACGUCUGCUUAACACGCAGAAUGUCGUCGGUUCAAGUCCGGCCUGGAUCA
rnacentral:tRNA from 1 species